rnacentral:rRNA from 1 species
GUGCCAGCCGCCGCGGUAAUACGUAGGGUGCAGGCGUUAAUCGGAAUUACUGGGCGUAAAGCGUGCGCAGGCGGUCUUUUAAGUCAGAUGUGAAAUCCCCGGGCUUAACCUGGGAACUGCGUUUGAAACUGGAAGGCUUGAGUGUGGCAGAGGGGGGUGGAAUUCCACGUGUAGCAGUGAAAUGCGUAGAGAUGUGGAGGAACACCGAUGGCGAAGGCAGCCCCCUGGGCUAACACUGACGCUCAUGCACGAAAGCGUGGGGAGCAAACAGGAUUAGAAACCCCCGUAGUCC